rnacentral:rRNA from 1 species
AUUGAACGCUGGCGGCAGGCCUAACACAUGCAAGUCGAGCGGAUGAAGGGAGCUUGCUCCUGGAUUCAGCGGCGGACGGGUGAGUAAUGCCUAGGAAUCUGCCUGGUAGUGGGGGAUAACGUCCGGAAACGGGCGCUAAUACCGCAUACGUCCUGAGGGAGAAAGUGGGGGAUCUUCGGACCUCACGCUAUCAGAUGAGCCUAGGUCGGAUUAGCUAGUUGGUGGGGUAAAGGCCUACCAAGGCGACGAUCCGUAACUGGUCUGAGAGGAUGAUCAGUCACACUGAAAAUGAGAAACGGUACAGACUCCUACGGGAGGCAGCAGUGGGGAAUAUUGGACAAUGGGCGAAAGCCUGAACCGGCCAUGCGGCGUGUGUGAAGAAGGUCUUCGGAUUGUAAAGCACUUUAAGUUGGGAGGAAGGGCAGUAAGUUAAUACCUUGCUGUUUUGACGUUACCAACAGAAUAAGCACCGGCUAACUUCGU